AUUGAACGCUGGCGGCAUGCCUUACACAUGCAAGUCGAACGGCAGCAAGGGUGCUUGCACCUGGUGGCGAGUGGCGAACGGGUGAGUAAUACAUCGGAACGUACCUUAUCGUGGGGGAUAACGCAGCGAAAGCUGUGCUAAUACCGCAUACGCCCUGAGGGGGAAAGCGGGGGAUCGAAAGACCUCGCGCGAUUAGAGCGGCCGAUGCCUGAUUAGCUUGUUGGUGGGGUAAAAGCCCACCAAGGCGACGAUCAGUGGCGGGUCUGAGAGGACGAUCGGCCUCACUGGGACUGAGACACGGCCCAGACUCCUACGGGAGGCAGCAGUGGGGAAUUUUGGACAAUGGGGGCAACCCUGAUCCAGCAAUGCCGCGUGAGUGAAGAAGGCCUUCGGGUUGUAAAGCUCUUUUGUCAGGGAAGAAACACCGGCUCUAACACAGUCCGGGAAUGACGGUACCUGAAGAAUAAGCACCGGCUAACUACGUGCCAGCCGCCGCAGUAACAC
rnacentral:rRNA from 1 species